GCAGACAUAGUUUAACAAAAACAUUAGAUUGUGAAUCUAACGAUAGGAGUUUAAGCCUCCUUGUAUGCC
rnacentral:tRNA from 1 species